rnacentral:rRNA from 1 species
UACGUAGGGUGCAAGCGUUAAUCGGAAUUACUGGGCGUAAAGCGUGCGCAGGCGGCUCGGAAAGAAAGAUGUGAAAUCCCAGGGCUUAACCUUGGAACUGCAUUUUUAACUACCGGGCUAGAGUGUGUCAGAGGGGGGUGGAAUUCCACGUGUAGCAGUGAAAUGCGUAGAGAUGUGGAGGAACACCGAUGGCGAAGGCAGCCCCCUGGGAUAACACUGACGCUCAUGCACGAAAGCGUGGGGAGCAAACAGG